AAAACCCUAACUAAGACAGAAGGACAUCAAUUCCACCGGGUCAGGGGCCCUCUCACGGUUCUGUUACAUGCAGGCACUUCUAUUUCCAAACCUGGCUAUAUUCUGAACAACCACCACUGAGGAAUUGGACAUUUGGAUUCAGUCCAGGACAGCUGGAGUAACCCUGUCUUUGAGGACAGAGGCUGACACCUUGAGAGGACCAAGGCCUCUCCCCAAGCUUGCUGGGCAAUAUUGUCAGGAAACCUGAACACGUGGUCCACCGUUCUUGUCGUCCCAGACUCUAUCUGUUUUGGUGGAUGGUGUUCAGUCCAGGCAGAGGAAGUGCUACAGGGAUGGCCUGCCUGCAAGAACCAAUUAAGGCUGCCCUUCACUCUGAAGACAAUCUUACUUCCCAGACUGGAGACCUGUGGGUAAGGGACAGGAUUAUCUAUUUUAAUGUUGCUGACCUCAUUUUCUGAAAACUAAGUUCAACCGGAACUUCAACGUGUUUAAACAAAUAAAAGUGACAGGCAGGUUUUCCUGGAAGUUUCCCCCAUCCUUAUGUCAUGGACGUUAUUAUUUUUUUUUCUACAUGGAAACAUCUUGAAACUGGAAAGACAUGGGAUAUUAUUAUGUGAGACCCAUUCAUCGGGGUUGGGUUCAAGUCCUUUAUUCCAGAUGUGGGAGAAUCUGGACUUGGCGAGCACGCAGUUUCCUUUGGAUCACACAGAACAUUUGAGGCUGUGUUGGGCGAAGCAACCCCUGACUCUGUACUCAUUACACAGUAUUCUUUCCAUGAGACCAAUGCUAUGGAUUUGAGGAUCACCUGUCAAUAUCCAACAGCCCCCCCCAUCUAAACUAUGAGCCCACCAAAGGUGACACGCUGAGGACCCCCACAGAGAGACAUGCCUGACUCAUCCCGCCCCCCAUUUCACAAGUGAAGCCUGUGAUUAGAAAAAUAAUAAAAGCCCAUAUCA